CUAAAACUACAAAAAAAUUAACCGAGUGUGGUGGUACGUGCCUGUAGUCCCAACUACUCGGGAGGCUGAGGUGGGAAUUGCUUGAACUCGGGAGGCAGAGUUUGCAGUGAGCCGAGAUCACGCCACUGAACUCCAUCUUGUUGACAGAGUGAGACUCCAUCUCAAAAAAAAAAAAAAAAAAGGAACUGGUAAAACAUUACUAUGGUCUUAGAGGCUCAGAGUAGAGGCUCAGGUAGUGACUGGAAGGGCACCAGGAAGGUUUUGGGGGCGCAGUAAUGCUCUCUGUUUCUUGAUCCAGGUGCUGACUAGAUGGUUGUGAUUGUUUUGUGCAAGUUUGUUGAGCUGUACCACUUGUAAUCCAUCCACAUCUCUGGAUGCAUAUUAUACUAAAUAAAAAGUUUACGUUCAUAAAAGAAACCAUGGGACAUAAAGGAUACGUUCUUGCAAACUUCCUUUAUGUCUUUCUAAAAUCUCCCCUGCGUUCCUCUCUAGGUCCUUCAACAUGAAUGUUUGGAGAACUAAGAGAAAGAAACACAAACCCUGACUAACUUGAAUUUAGGAUUUUUUGACUUACAAUAGGUUUAUUGGGACGUAACCCCAUCGUAGGUCAAGGAGCAUCUGGACUUACAAUGGUUUACCUUAGGAUAUUUUGAGUUUAUCAUGGGUUUAUCAAGGUAUUAAAUGCAUUUUGAUUUAUGAUAUUUUAGACUUAUCAUUAGUUUAUCAGGCUGUAACCCCACUGGAAGUCUAGGAGGACCUGUAUUUUAAUUUAAAAAACAUGCAAGCCUGUUUACAUAUUUAUUUUAUAUUUCUUCACCACAUCUACAAAGCAGACCACAAUUAACUUUGUAGAAAAGGAGAUAUGAAAUCUAAAUGUUCCAGGACAUAGUUGUGAGAGCUGCAAAGAUGAGUCGAUUGAUUUUGUUUGGGGUCCUCCUUCUUGCUGAUGCUGGCUGACCUUGUUUACUCAGCCUCCAUCCUUGGGCCUGGUCAAAGAGUAUUGCCGACUAGCCUGCCUCUUCCUCAUCUAUACUGUCAUAAGACUAUCUCUUUUUUGUCCAGGUACCCCUGUUGCAGUCUUAAAGGUUGUCUUUCAAAAGUUGAAAGACACAAAACUUGAUGUGAUCUGGCUGCUCUAACUUGAUUCCGUGGUUGUGCAGAAAAACCCUCCCCACCAUUCUCGUCUCCCGAAAAGCAUUCAUUAAGGGUUUGAACGGGAUGGAAAUAAUUAAUCUCACCUAUUUGCUCAAUGUGUUGCCCAGGCUGCAACUCCAGUCUAUGAAUGUCUUAUCUGCCCAUUCACAGCGAUUCGAAAACGAAUUUUAAACAGUAGAACCAUUAAUUUGGUGACCUUUUAGGCACCCAACACCAGCCACCUGGAAUCUCUCUGUCAGUUCACAGAGCCCAAGGGUGGUGCUUCAGCACCCUAGGAAAUGUGCCAGCAAGGUCUACAGUAUCAGCAACUUUACCUCUCCCUCCCAGAGCUUUCUGGAGUGCUUAGCAGAAGACAGAGGACUCUAAAGUGUGAAUGUGGAAUGGAAAUUGAGGCCACCGGCAACGGCUGCGUCGAAGAGUAACUUGCGAACGCAUAGGGAUUCACAGGAUAGAUAUUGUCUGGAUAUCAGGGCGAAAUGUUAAUUAGGGAUCAAAAUGUCCUUUUAAAUUAGCUAUGUUGAAGAGAAAGGAGAAGACCAGGAAACAGAAGAAAGAUAUCGUUAUGUGGUAUUUUGGAAUAAAUAUUUAUAGAAAACAAUGAUCUGUUUGUUUAAAAACUACCGAUCUAAAAUGCUGCCCCGUCUCAUCCCUUCUUCCUGCUUUAUUUUCCUUCUCACUGUUUAUUCCCUGACAUGUUGUAAACUAACUUAUUUAUCUUGCAAAUGUUUCCUACUAGAAUGUAAGGCCCAUGAGGGCGGACGUUUUGCCUCAUUCUCUUUGGAACAGUGGACACACAGGGACUUACACAAAAAUCUGUUGAAUGAAUGAAUGUACGCUUCCAUACAUUGUAUUGGAACCUUUUCAUAUCUUUACAAACUUGUAGCAAAUCAACCAAACGUUAUUAGAAGGCCUAUUGUUUCUGUACACAUUCAAAGUAGUUCCUUAAAGUGUUCAGUGUUUUUUACCAGUUUAUUUUCAUGAAACUUUUUUAAAACACACGUCUUAAGGAUCAUACCGUGUUUUUUGAUGCUGCAGUUUUCCGUGUAUCUAAUUACAGGACUGUUUCCAAUACUCUCCCUGGUUCUGCAUUUCCUCAGCCACCAUGAGCACAUUCUAUUCUAUGGUCAUUGGAUCGGCAUUUUAAAUCCUGUUUGGCAGAAAGAGAGUCUCAUGUUUAGGUCCAAGAUGUAAUGGAUCUCUCUAAAGGACAGCAUGACAUUUCCUGUGUAAAACAACUAAAAUCCAGAAUCCACUUCCUGGUCAAUAUCGUGGGGACUACCUAAGCAGCAUGUGAGAACACACACACACACACACACACACACACACCACACACAACAGAAAAGUGAGUGAUAAUCGAUUUUAAGGACUAACUCUGGAGCCAGACUAACUGGGCUCUGAUUACAGCUCUGAUUACAGCUCUGGUGGUAACUAGCUUUACGAUCUUGGGCACAUUAUUUAACCUCUUGUCCCUCAGUUGCUUCAUCUGUAAAACCGAGAUAACAAUUGCAAUUAUCUCAUAAAAUUAUUGGAAGGAGUUAAUGAAUUAGUAUCAGUAAAGUGAUUGGAACAAUUCCUGGCAUAUAAUAAGCUCCACAUAUAUGCUAUAUAAAUGCUAGUUAAAUAACUAGUUAAACACACAAUGAAAUGUAAUAAAAGAAAAUAAAAUUAAAGAUAAUAUAUUACCAAUUGGGUAGAUGGCAACAGAGAGAAUGAAGACAAAGAUGAAUAAUCAGAGAUCUCUUCUACCUGGAGAGAUAUUCCAUUAUAUGACAUGGUGGCAACUUGAGUGUGUAUAUAUAUAUAUAUAUAAUUCCCACAUUUAAGAAAAAAAGGUAUUCAAACAAAAAUCUGUACCCAUUCGAAUUUUGCAUAAAGAGAACCAUGAUGAGAAGGAAUUACUGUACUUUGGUGUGCUCAUAAAAUUAUUAUAUAUUUAUAAUGAUUUUUAAAAAUAUGGACUUUAGAUGACUAAUUUCUUAAUAUUGUACCUGUACAGAGACAUUUGGAGAAACAAAUUAAACCUUUAUAGAUAACCUUAAAUAUCUGAAUAUGUAUAGAGUUGAAUGAUGGGACAAUUGAGGGAAGGGGUAGACAGACAUUAGGAAAAACAAAUUAAACCUUUAUAGAUAACCUUAAAUAUCUGAACACAUGUCUAGUUGAAUGAUGGGACAAUGGAGGAAAGGGUGUAGUGAGCAUAGUUUGAAUGAUGGACAAUGGAAGGAAGGGGUGUAGUGAGCAUAGUCAGUUGGAAUGAUAGAUAAUGGAAGGAAGGGUGUAGUAAGCAUAGUCAGUUUGAAUGAUGGACAAUGAUAGGAAAGGUGUAGUGAGCAUAGUCAGUUUGAAUGAUGGACAAUGGAAGGAAGGGUGUAGUGAGCAUAGUCAGUUUGAAUGAUGGACAAUGAUAGGAAGGGUGUAGUGAGCAUAGUCAGUUUGAAUGAUGGACAAUGGAGGGAAGGGGUGUAGUGAGCAUAGUCAGUUAUGGAAGGAAGGGGUGUAGCGAGCAUAGUCGGUUUGAAUGAUGGACAAUGGAGGGAAGGGGUGUAGUGAGCAUAGUUUGAAUGAUGGACAACGGAGGGAAGGGGUGUAGUGAGCAUAGUUUGAAUGAUGGACAAUGGAAGGAAGGGUGUAGUGAGCAUAGUCAGUUUGGAUGAUGGACAAUGGAAGGAAGGGUGUAGUAAGCAUAGUCAGUUUGCAUUUGAAAGUGAUGCUGAAGUCCUCGUCAUUGGGAUGCCAGAGGGAUCUGGGUCACAAAACAUACAGAAACAUUUGUUUGUGAGUGUUGCGUGCAUUUGCACAUUUUUCAUGGGGAAAAGUCCAUCUGAUGAUCAAAAAAGUGUGUGUCCCAGCAAAGGUGCAGAAAUUAUUAUCAUUUGAUUUUCUGGUUAAUAGUAUGUGAAAGUAUUUUAAAGACAAUCUACUACUCAUCAUUUCAAUAAGAGAUAAUCUAAAAAUUACCCAUCUUGUAUGAAACAAAGAAAAGAAUCAGAGAAAUUAUAUAUUUAUUAUUCCUUAAAUGUUAUUUUUCUUCCUUUUACUUCUCUUCUAUAUUCACUGUUGCGGCAUUAUAUUGAUUUUUGUUUUCUUUUUGUAAUUUGGAAAGCAGCUAUGUUCACUAUUAUAUAAACAAUGCUUGAGAGUUUUCUUAUGUUGUUAUUAAAGUUGGUGUUCAGGUAAAUUACAUUAUCUAAUGAUUUCAUUUCAAGGUAAAACACAAACAGUUUUAUGUCUUAAAGAGGGCCUUGGUCUGAUAGGAAUGAGAACCACUCUGCCAUGCCCUAUGCGAACAAUUCUAAUUGAGUAAAAUCUAAUACUUUGCAAACUGUCCCAAGAGAGCUUACUGAUUUUACGGCAGAAGAAAAAGUUUCUAUGUAGAACUCUAUGUUUGAGAGGAGGAGAGGGGCUACAGCUAAGUAUAGAGAAAAAACAAGGUUCCAUAAUCAAGAAAGAAAAAGGUGGAAUCUGAGUCUGUCUUUUUCGUCUUUACCUCUGUGUGUGUAUGUUCUAUACCAUCAUGUCUCAUUUUUCUUUAUCUCUUAAAGGGCAAUGUGUGCACACAGCAGGCAUAUAUGUGUUAAUUGAUUCAUACUCCACACAAUCCCCAUUUCUCUUGUUCUUAUCCCGACCACAAUGGAGUUCAAUAGAGCUAACAAUGGAAAAGAUAAUGAGUGGGUCUAAAUUCAAUCCCCUUUUGUUUAAGCUAAUCUCCCUCUCUAAUUAAUGGCUGUUCAUACCAUUAUUGCUCACGAAUCUGGCGACAGUUCUCUGCAUCGGCGCAGGAAGCACUCUGUGAAAUCAUGUUGUCAAAGGGGACAGCAUAGUCCAGCUCCCAUUGCACCCUUGGUGACUUUUGGCCUAAUGAAAAAGGUGUGUGGAACAUGGAAACCAGAAGGAGCCCUCUCCUGUUAGUGCAGAGCUCCUGCUCCUGGGUUGCAUUCUAGCUUUCGUCACACAUUUUAAAAUCCAAAUGUAAGAAUGAUGUACCUUUGAAAAGACAGUGGGUUACAAUGAGGGACUGAAGGAGUGGGCAGGGUCAAGUAGGGAGGGAAGAGAGAGAAGGCACAAGAGGAGCUGUGAGGAAAUAUCUCCCAGCCUCCAUCCUCACCCUCCCUGAGCUUCCGCAGGGCUGAGGCUUCCUCUGCUGAGCUUGCGCACUUGGAGAAGCCCCCUCUGGGUGGUGAUUUCUGUGCUGCAGUUGACUCCCACAGUUUGACACACACACGCACACACACACUCAAAGUCUGCAAAGGCACCAGCAGCAGUACAUACAUGCUUUCCUAAUAGAAUGCUGCUUUUAAUAAACAGGCAGCCUCUUACUCUUUUAGUUUUUGUGGACUUCAUUGUUUAAAACUGUAAAUAAACAAAGAACUCUGGAUUCCUCAUCCAUACUAUUAAGUGUUAGUGUUUCCUUUACUGGAAGCCUUCAACGUAUCAGAAACUGUGCAGGGCGAUAGGGUACACAGAGGCCAAAGCCAAGGCUACUGCUUUGCGGGAACUCUCAAGCCAGGUGCUUAGAGACGGCUGUGUAUUGCGGACCUCAGCCACGGAGGGCUGAAUUUCACAGAAAUCUUGGUGAUUUUGCCACUGUGUGAACAUCAUAGAGUGCACUCAUACAAACCCAGACGGCGCAGCCUCCUCCACACCCGGGCCACAUGGUACAGCCUGUUGCUCCCGGGAUACACACCUGCCCAGCAGGGGACGCUACUGAACACUGCAGGCAGCUGGAACACAAUGAAACCAUAUGGUCCCAUCUUCGAAGAGUUUUCAGUCUAGGAGGGGAGGCAGCUUCACGAACAGUGAUUGCCGCAGAAUGUGGUCAGUACAUCGUCACGCAUCCAGGCACCACCACGGCGUGAUGCGGGGAGCGAGGAGCCAUGAAGUCAGGCAAAAGCAUGGAAAGAAAGAUCUUCGAAAAGGAGGGGGCCUGCAAAAGAACUGAAACAUGAAAAGCCGUUGAAACAAAACUGACAGGCAAUAUGGUCAAGUUCCUGAUGACCCAAAUGAUCACUCAUUCAGGCAGCUUGGCUCACCAAGAACAGACCUGGGGGCGGCCUGGGAGCGGGUAUCAGACUGCCACAGGUUAACAUAGAGAAGCGAGGUGAUGCUGGAUGCAGUGGGUCACGCCUGUAAUUCCAGCAUGUUGGGAAGCCAAGGCAGGAGGAUCACUUGAGGCCAGGAAUUGCAGACCAGCCUGGGCAACACAGUGUGAUGUCGUCACUCCAAAAAAUAAAUAAAAGAUUAGCUGGAUGUGGUGGUACGUGCCUGUGGUCCCACCUGCUUGGGAGGCUGAGGUGGGAGGAUCAUUUCAGCCCAGGAGUCCCAGGCUGCAGUGAGCCAUCAUCACGCUACUGCACCCCAGCCUGGGCGGCAAAACAAGACCCCCUACCUACAAAAAAAGAAAGAAGAGAAAAGUGAGGUCAUGCAGUGCAGGGGGCUUCCUGCAAUCCUAGAUCUUCAUGACUCCUGGCGCUUCUGUUGUCAGGACACUCAUUAAAACCCACCCCAUGAGCCUCUUUUUCUACCACCGUCGCCCCCUAUGAGUUUCCUUUUAUGCUACCAUCUGCCACGAUAAGCCUCUUCUUUCCACCAUCACACCCGUGAGCUUCUUGAGCUCAGGGACAUGUCUCAUUUGACUUGGCACCUAUGUUUGCUAUUACGAUACUGUGUAUUUAUAAGGCACCACAAUGUAUGAUUGUUACAUCAAUAAAUCAUCAGCAAACCUUGAAGAUUUAAUUGGGAAAAAAAUCAGCUUUUGUGGCAAGUCAAGAGUCCACAGGAGGCAGCUACUGGGGUCGGUGCUGUUGAGACUGCAAGGCCUGAGGAGCUGGAACCGUGACAGAUUGGAAACAGCACCUCCUCCUACCACAGGCUUUAUUCACAAGUAUAAUUUAUUUUUUCUGUGUAGGAGCUUGAGGGAUUUCAGAGCAUGACAUCGAGUAAAUGUAUUUUACAUGUUAUUCCUUCCUUGGCAUCAUGGUUUGAGCCAUUCAAAUAUCUUCAUAAUCAAAAGCAUAAUAAAUUAUGACUAAAACGGUGUACCUGUGAAAACGUCCCUCGCACUCUCCCCAGUUGGAGGCUGUGCUUUUACGGUCGCAGACAGCAGGGCUGUUUGUGAGAGCAGCAGGGCUCUGCGGCUGGAGCUGAGUCAGAAGACGCCUGGCCUGCACUGCGGAGGUGCGGAGACCACAGAGGUCGGCGUGGCUCCAUCACAGCUAGAGGAUUCUGGGACAUAAUAUCCGCUCUGGACUGAAUGGUUAAGUCCCUCCCAAAUUCAUGUUAAAACUCUAAUCCCCAGGAAGACAGUAUUAGGAGGCACGGCCUUUGGAAGGCGAUUAGGCCAGGAAGGGCUUAUUGCCCUUAUAAAGGAGAGGGCUCCUGUCCCCUUCAGCCACGGGAGGCCACAGUGAGAAGGCGCCAUCCAGAAGCCCGGACAGUAGCCCUCACCAGAUGCCAAAUCUCCCUGCACCUUGACCUUGGACUCCUUCACCUCCACAACUGUGAGAAAUAAAUCCUUCAUUGCUUAUAAGCCA
rnacentral:lncRNA from 10 species